UUCAGGGAGGUGGUGGCGGGGAUCAUUGAGCUAUUGGGGAGGCCCAACGUGUCGGACUUCUUCCCGGCGGUGGCGUGGAUGGAUCUGCAAAGGAUCCAGUCAUCCAGCGCCGCAUGAGCGUGUUCCUGUGCCGAUUCGAGCGCAUCUUCAAAGAUAUAAUCGAGAUGAAAAGAAAGAAGGAAGGCGGCGGCGUAAGCGAAGGAAAAGACUUCUUGGAGGUCAUGUUGAGGCUGGAGAAGGAAGGCUGUGAGUCUGUGACGGGAAUACGCCCUUCACCAUGACUAACGUCAAAGCUCUUCUCACGGACAUGGUGGUAGGCGAAAGAGACCACAUCCAACAUGGUAGAAUCUGCUAUUGUGUCGUCGCCGCCUCCUAGCUGCUGCUGGUCUCAAAGCUCCCCUGCCGGCCACACGCGUCACCGCAGGUUCAGCCUUCAGAUCGCCCCUCCAUGUUUGAGUUCCUAGAUCCGCCACUGUCUGCGGUCAUAUACAAUUAGAACCUUCUUCCAGCUCACAAAAGUGUGUCAUGCUUCCUCCAUCACCAAACAAGUUCUAACACCCGGCAUUCCCUGACAUCAGUUAAGCUCCAGAGGUACGCAUUGUCAUAUAAAAAAGGUGGUUCUCUCCCUUUAGCAGGUACGCUCUCUUGUACAUUCGCACUUAUCUUCUACUUUUUCUUCUCCUUCGUACAUUGUUAUUCUAAAGAAAAAAUAUAUGACUUGAGCGUCGGAGGGCCUACUCCGGAGACUUUUUUUUCCUGAUUUCUAACCUCUACAAUUCCAUGUGCUUGUCUGAGUGCGCGGUCAAGUACCGCCAGCUUAGUUAUCGCCGCCCGUCAACGCCACGUGGAGAUCCGUUCUAUGGGGCACGUACGAUAGGGGUAUCAUAGUCGCUUCUCCGUUAACACCAACGACAACUCAUCUAACCUUCAUUUGACUCAAAUUCUAGACAAGAUCAUAUUUAUUUAUUUUAUCACAAUAUUAUUUUUAC